rnacentral:lncRNA from 1 species
UUUGUUGAUGUUGUUGUAUGCAUGUUGUAGACUGUAAUAUCGAGUCCAAGAACCUGCCUUUAUAUUCCAUAAACAUCAAAUGUAUUGGAUUUUAUGGAUGGUCAAACUAGACCACCCGAACUGAUUAUUACUUUUCUGGAAAACCCAGAAACAGUUAGAACAACUGUUCUGACAUACUUUGACCAUAUGUUUCAUGUUGAUUCGGUUGUUGAUAAACAAAUUUGUUGCUUUAGUAUUGUUCACUGACACAUGGACUACAUGUUCAAACUUUUAUAUCACAUAAACAAUGAAC